UACGAAGGGGGCGAGCGUUGUUCGGAUUUACUGGGCGUAAAGGGCGCGCAGGCGGCUAUCCAAGUCAGGCGUGAAAGCCCCGGGCUUAACCUGGGAACUGCGUCUGGGACUGGGUGGCUAGAGAUCGGGAGAGGAGAGUGGAAUUCCCAGUGUAGAGGUGAAAUUCGUAGAUAUUGGGAAGAACACCGGUGGCGAAGGCGGCUCGCUGUGACGGUACUGACACUGAGGCGCGAAAGCGUGGGGAGCAAACAGG
rnacentral:rRNA from 1 species